rnacentral:lncRNA from 1 species
AAGAAUUCAAAUAAUAGGAGAAUCCCCUAUAUUUAAUGAGCAGUUACAAAAGCAAUUUCAAAAUAUUAACAAUUGUAAUUGUAAUUUUUUUCUCUCGCAAUAUAAUAAUUCAGUCUUAGCAAUCUAGCAAUAUCAGAUUCGUAAAUGGAAAACUAAUUUCAAUUUCCAUUGAUGACUGGAAGCUUCUUCACGAGAGAAUUUUGUAGGCCAUGAGCAGAAAUGCUUGGAAAAGGUAUGGAGCCCAACAGCUUUCGUCCCCUUGAAAAUUGUUGAGAUAAGAAAAACUUGUCAUCAUCAUCUGCAGCUUCACAGUGAGAUGUGCAAAGUAGCAGCAGCACCCCAAGGAAAAGCAGAAGCAUCGUCCCUCUCAAUGCAGCCAUUUUUCCGAUCAAGAAGCAAUCAUAUAUUUUCUUUUAUUAUUUUCUGAUAUAAUCGUGUAAUGCUGCUUAUAUAUGAGAGGGAAGGGUGGAUUUUUACUAUAUUAAGGUAUCCAAGUUUGGACCGUCAGUAUCUCGGAUGGUUAGAAAUGAGCAGUUCAGGAACGCCAUCCAGUGACCUGUUAAACCCUAUAAUUUAGACCUUGGGGCUGUAAAUUGUGCCAAGUAACAGAAAUUCUAGUUGUUAAAAAGUUUCCCUACAUCGUGACUUCAUCACUUUUCAUAUUGAUACCUAUUUGAUAGCCAAUGGACAUUUUCACCAAGCCAAAACCAACAUCAAUCUAUCUACCUGGUCUUAUAAAAAUGGAGGAGCAUUUUUCUUUCUUUAAUCAAUUAUACCCUUAUCAACAAUUUCUAAUUAAUUAUUCGUCCUUCAAUUGAUACCAUCGAACCACUUGAUCUAAAAUCUACUAUUAGAAAUAACUAGAUGUAUAAAUUUUGAGAAUUCAUUUUUCCAUUAAAGUCUUCACGCAUAAAGUUUUCGAUAAAUGCGUAAUAACAAGACUUAAAUAUAUGAGAUAUACCAUGUUAAGAAUUAUGAAUUAAUAGAUUGAGACAAAACAAAUGAUUAAGUUGAGAAGAUGUAUAGUAUUUAUGUCUACGAAGCACAAUUGAGAAUGCAUAAAUAGUGUAAAACACUAAAACUAGCAUACGAGGAAAGAUUCUAUAUCGAUUCCAUAAUCAAAGUACUAUGGUAAUAAUCUAUGACAAUUAAAAUAUAUGACAAUAUCACGAAAAUAUGAAAAAUAUAAUUAGCAUCCCAUCAAACAACAAAAACACAUGCAUGCGAAUAAGGGUAGAUUAAAGACUAAUCGAAAUCAUGGUGCGUGCAUAAUAAUGUGCAAAUCACAACUUAAUUGAAAUGUAGAAAAUGCACAAAAAAAUAAAAAAUAAUAAAAAAUAAUAAUAAUAAUAAUUGAGGGAGAUAAUAUAAAGCGUGUUGACUACUGGAAAAGGAUAAUAAGAGUUAUUAGCUACUUGAGAUAUUUUCGUAGCUAUGGACUGCACUAUAUCAGAUAUCCAACAUUCGUUGAAGGAUGUAAUGAUGCUAAUUAGAUAUCUUAUGUAAAAGACACAAAAUUUACAAGUGAAUAUGUGUUUACAUUAGGAGAUGCAGCUAUAUAAUCAAAAUCCUCUAAACAAUAGUUACAACUAGAUUUACCUUGGAAUCUAAGUUUAUAGCCUUGUAUAAACGUGGUGAAGAAGUUGAGUGGCUACAAAAGUUUUUAUAGGAUAUUCCAAGAUGGGCACAAAGCAACAUGUACGAUAAUAAGUCUAUACAUAUACAUCCUAUACAUAUACUACAGGGCAACUACUCUCCAUCGGGAUUAUCUCUAUAUACUAUGUUAGAUCAAAGGAUAACAUUAUGGAUUUGCUAAUCAAAUGGUUAAAUAGAGAAUUAGUUGGAAAGACAUCGAAAUGAAUUGGACAUAUGCCCUUGAGCAAAUGAGUUAAUACAAUGAAAAACCAACUUUGUUGAUUGAAGAUCUUGAGAUCUAGGUUAAAACAAACAAUUGACUUAAUUGAAUCACUAUGGGGGAUAAUAUACCUUGUCCAUCCCUAUGAUGUAAUAAUGAUACCCAUAAGGAUGAAGAAUAAGCAACAUGAUUUGAAUUAUACUUAUGCGUUGAAAAUCAAGCGAAGUAAUGUGGGUUAUUUAUAAUAAGAAAUCAAAUAUGUGAGAGAGAAGGUUCACUUCCAAGAGAAUUGUGUGAGGCUCAAUUUUUAGAAAGUCUCGCAAAACUAAGCAUAUGCUCAUGAUUAUAAACAAACAUAACAAUUAGAGCUAAAUUUUACUGAGAAGAAUCCUAUGUGGAGUGUAACAUCAUUUACGUAUAAAAUAGAACAAUUUAAAUGUCUAUUGUUUAGUCAUAAUGGACGAUUCAAAGGAUAAUGUCUACCUAUACCAUAUAGGUUUAAACUAUUGAACUUUAUCAUCAAAUCAUUAUGUUCUCAUUUCUAUGACUCAAUUUCUCCUGAUACAUUCUUUUGGCGUGGAUUUACAUGUUGUUAAUAGAUCGAUAAGAGUAACUUUCUAUUUAACCAAAAAUUUGAUUUUGACCAUCUUUUUAAUAUUUUAAAACAGGGCAAAAGCGUAAUUUUCUAUUUAUCACAUUAAAUAAUUACAUUUAUUAAAUUAAAAAUUAAAAAAUAAGAAAAAAAUAAACAUGCAACUGCAUUCACGCUUGCGUUGGUGUCUGCAACUCCACCACCGGAAGAAUGGGGAAACGAAUAUCUAGCACCAACUGCUAUAAAUUAUAAUCGCGGCCAUAUACCUAGGGUCUUGCUUAUUCUACCCCAACCGAACUAAAG